rnacentral:sRNA from 1 species
GACCUAAACCCUACCUAAAAAUAGGGCAUGGUCGCAAAUACUACAUGAAUAUAGAGAUGGCUACGCCGUCUCUGGUAUUAUUCAUGUAGUCAACAAUCGAAAGGUUGUUGGAUCCCGAAAGGGAUC